rnacentral:rRNA from 1 species
GAUGAACGCUGGCGGCGUGCCUAAUACAUGCAAGUCGAGCGAACAGACGAGGAUCUUGCUCCUCUGACGUUAGCGGCGGACGGGUGAGUAACACGUGGAUAACCUCCCUAUAAGACUGGGAUAACUACGGGAAACCGGAGCUAAUACCGGAUAAUAUAUUGAACCGCAUGGUUCAAUAGUGAAAGACGGUUUUGCUGUCACUUAUAGAUGGAUCCGCGCCGCAUUAGCUAGUUGCUAAGGUAACGGCUUAUCAAGGCGGCGAUGUAUAGCCGCCCAUAGAGGUUGAUCUGACCCACUGCAAUCGUAACCCGCUCAAGCCUCCUACGGGAACCAGCAGCAGCCAUUCUUCCGCAAUCGCCCAGCGCCUAGUGGCGCAACACCGCGUGAGCGAUGGAGGUCUUCGUAUCGUAAAAAGCUCCUAUAAGGUUAAAGUACAUAUGUACUUUACUAUGAGUGUGUUGACGGUACCCAAUCAGAAAACUACGGCUAACUACGUG